rnacentral:rRNA from 1 species
UACCGCAAACGACCGUACAGAGAGCAGUGGCGACUCCCGUUCGACACGUGCAGAUGGCACAGCGGGUAGCUGAGGGCGCGCCGGGCGCCCAUGGUGGACGAGCGCCAGCUUCCGAAGAGCUCUUUGUUCUGCGGGUGGCCGGUCAUGUAGUCUAGAGCGUGAAAGAACCAACCUCCGGCGGCGACCAUAGAGUUGAUGAUGGGAUUACCGACACUGAUGGUCACCCUGCCAACCCAUAGCCAAAGAUAACCGGAACUCCUGCUGCUUCUACUACUGCGACUGCUACUACUCGUUUUCGUCGGGCACUUCCAGGCCGAACGGUAGACAAACUAGCUGGUUAAAGUCACCGUUCUCAGUCAUAUGUAGGUACUUACACUUUGUCUUCUAAAACAAGAGUUAAGACAUUAGACGCUAUUUCUAAAGUAUUCUUCUAGAUGCAACCUUUCUAGAAGCAUAGAGUUCCUACUGUCGAAGUAUUAGGCAAAGCUGCAAUCGCAUGAACUGCAGUUCCGGCUGCAGUUGUGCCUCCAACCGCGAUGGUGGUAGCAAAGAGCCAAGUAGGUUCAGGGAGGAAGGCUGGACCGUUAGGUGAAGUCCGGAACAAGCCAACGUUGUUUUAACUUCCCCUCUCCAAAUAGGCUUGUUCCGGAGUUCCUAGAGGAGUACAGGUUCCUCCCACGACUGCACUGCAAACUCCAACCGCCGCUUCGUAAACGACGCGUAGUUACACACGAACGUCGCGCUAGAUACCGUAAGUUCAGUGUCGACAAACCACUGUGAGGACCACCACGAUGACACUUCUAGCUACCAUAUCUUCGUCUUCACAAAUUCUCGUACGAUUGAAAGUAGAUGUGGCUGUGUAACGGACAUGGACUGACCUUAUUUUAUGUUCACACCUGUGGUCUCCCUCGGGGUUUUCGUCAGGUUGUACAUUACACCGACGACGUCAACGAACUUCGACGCCUCUCUAUACUAGAGGUAUCCGAGUUCAACUAGACGGUUCUGCUCAACCCGUGGUCGUAAGUCGACUUCUGCCAUCGCCUGUAGUAACAACCUCGACUCGCCCCUGUAAUGGGCCACGAAACACGACAAUAAAACUCGGAAACGUCCUAGCUGACCACACACAAAACGCAGUCAACCGAGCAAAAAACGACCCGAGCACCUCGACCGCCCACCACCGGUAGAGCACGGGUGAGUAAUUCUUUCGGGCCGGGUAAAGACGCCUUGCACCUAUCAGCGACGGGGAGAGUAGAAUAGGAGAAGGAGGAGUAGAAGACAGUCAGUGAGCGAGGAGAGAGACAAAGUCAGUUACAGGAGAUGAGUAGGAGAAGGACAGCGCUCGACCCCAAGCACCCCAAUCAACGAUCUAGAAGAGGGUGACGGAGUAGACGAGGAUGACGAAGUCAGGUACCGAAGACAAGAAGGAGAAGGACAGUACUCGAUCCCAAGAACCCCAAACAACGAUCUAGACGAUUGAAUCCACGAAGAGGUACCAAUAGAAACCACGAACGUCCAUAAAAACAGACGACGUAGGAAACGGAAUCAAGUAGAACGAGAAAAGAGAAAUCAGGGGAGUACGCGGAUUGAAACGAUCUAGACGAGUGGACCCACGAAGAGACACAAAAAAUACCACAAACGUCCAGAAGUGUCAGCCCACAAAACCAACGACAUCCUAGACGGCAACGAUACUGUACCAAACGGGGUAAACAGUAACGGACCCACGGGGAACACAUGGUAAACGCCGUUUAGUUCUUCAAGGACUUCAAAAGCUACAAGACGAACUACUCCUGACGAAAUCCUCCUACAUACUACCAGUACGUUACCUACAAACCGGCUGACCUCUUCCUGAAACCUUCCUUCUUUACACUCGUCUUCUUGAUGUCUCUCCAGUCUUGUCUAGACUCCAAACAAGGUCGCAGGUACCGUCGCCAACUCAGCACGCUACAGCUCCUUCCCUUUCCUUCCUUCUUCUGGAUC